rnacentral:rRNA from 1 species
UCCUACGGGGGGCAGCAGUGGGGAAUAUUGCACAAAGGGGGAAACCCUGAUGCAGCGACGCCGCGUGAGUGAAGAAGUAUUUCGGUAUGUAAAGCUCUAUCGGCAGGGAAGAAAAUGACGGUACCUGACUAAGAAGCCCCGGCUAACUACGUGCCAGCAGCCGCGGUAAUACGUAGGGGGCAAGCGUUAUCCGGAUUUACUGGGUGUAAAGGGAGCGUAGACGGCGCGGCAAGUCUGAAGUGAAAGGCAGGGGCUUAACCCCUGAACUGCUUUGGAAACUGCCAUGCUAGAGUGCUGGAGAGGUA